GGAUCCAGCGGAAGAGGACAGGUUUGUGCUUGUUAUUUACAAGAGCAUGUUACUUUAUUGAAAUUACUGUAAAACUGCAUGUUUUUCUGCCUCCUAAAUGAUCCCUGAAUGGAAGUCCUUCCUUGUUGCCUCGGAGUAGGACACAGCCACCAGGCGAUCAGCAUCAGCAGUGCUGGAGCCAGAGCCGAACAAAUGAUUCAACCUGCUGCUUCUGAAACUUCCCCCCGCAGGGCUGUCUAUCUAAAACCCAAUUUGCGCCACCAUUGCUGUCAUCUGUAACCCUCCUACAUCCUCAUAAUCCUCUAUCCGAGCUCCCUGUGUGACAUGGAUAAAUCGUACCGCUGCAGACAUGUUCAGAGGAAUUAAAGCGAUGAUAUCUUGAAAUGAACACUGUCACUGUGACUUCCUCCUGACCUCGGGCUCGUCUGUCCAGCUGAACCAAAUGAGAUGUUCAACCCAAAGUCAGGGGAAGAAAUGAGGGAAAUCAGAGAAACACGGUGCUUCGACAUGUAUUAGAUAGUUGUAAUUUCUUAGAUUAUCUUUGUGUAUUGUGUUUCUUUUAGGAUAAAUUUUAAAAUUCUGGUUUUAACUUUCAGAGCCUUGCAUGGUCAGGCUCCAGCUUACAUCAAUGACCUGAUCCAGCCUUACACCCCAGCCCGGGUUCUGAGGUCUGUGGGUCAGAAUUUUCUGAUGGUGCCUCACACUCAUUUCCGGACCAGAGGAGACCGAUCCUUCCAGGCUGUUGCUCCCAAGCUCUGGAACGAUCUUCCGCCUGCUCUGCGUUCAAUGGAGUCUGUUGACUCCUUCAAAAGGGAACUAAAGACUUUUCUAUUUGUUCAGGCUUUGGCCUAACUGUCUUAGGG